GACGAACGCUGGCGGCGUGCUUAAUACAUGCAAGUCGAACGGUAAGGCUUUGCUCUUGUGGGGUUCUCGAGUGGCGAACGGGUGUGUAUCACGCGAGUAACCUGUCCUUGAGUUUGGGAGAACUCCAGGAAACUGGGGUGAUUAUCCGACAUGACCUCCUUCUGCAUGGUGGGGGUGGUAAAGAUAUGGCGGUUGGGCACGGACUCGUGGCUUAUCAGCUUGUUGGUGGGGUAGUGGCGUACCAAGGCAUUGAGGAGUAGCCGGCCUGAGAGGGUGACCGGCCACAAUGGGACUGAGAUGCGGGCCAGACUCCUACGGGAGGCAGCAGUGAGGGAUAGAGCACGAUACGCGGAAGCCGGAUGCAGCAUCGCCGCGUGCGGGAUGACGGCCGUCGGGUUAUAAACCGCGUGCGCCUGUGACGAAGAGUGAGUGACGGUAAUGGGUAAAGAAGCACCGGCUAACUACGUG
rnacentral:rRNA from 1 species